UUGAAAGGGAAACGAUUGAAGUCGGUCAUGCCGGUGGGAAUCAACUUAGGGGAAACUCUAGGUGCACUUCUUCGCUUGGCAGGUCAACGUCGAUUUUGAAUGUCAUAAAAUAAUUGGGGGAGGGUAGCUCCUUCGGGAGUGUUAUAGCCCUUGAUAGAUGUGAUGUUUGGGGUCGAGGAUUGCAACGGAUACCCUCUGGGGCUAGCCGCCUGAUCUCUAAUCGGUGUUGGGUUACGGAUAGCAUGCUGACCGUGAUCUAAUUACUGGUUAAAAGGUUAGAGCAUGCAUAAAUUCGUUAAGGAUGUUGACGUA
rnacentral:rRNA from 1 species